rnacentral:rRNA from 1 species
AUUGAACGCUGGCGGCAGGCCUAACACAUGCAAGUCGAGCGAGCGGCGGACGGGUGAGUAAUGUCUGGGAAACUGCCUGAUAGCGGGGGAUAACUGCUGGAAACGGUAGCUAAUACCGCAUACCAUCAGAUGUGCGCAGAUGGGAUUAGCUAGUAGGUGGGGUAACGGGUCACCUAGGCGACGAUCCCUAGCUGGUCUGAGAGGAUGAACAGCCACACUGGGACUGAGACACGGCCCAGACUCCUACGGGAGGCAGCAGUGGGGAAUAUUGCACAAUUGGCGCAAGCCUGAUGCAGCCAUGCCGCGUGUGUGAAGAAGGCCUUCGGGUUGUAAAGCACUGUCAGCGGGGAGGCGUUACCCGCAGAAGAAGCACCGGCUAACUCCGUGCCAGCAGCCGCGGUAAUAC